ensembl:lncRNA
GUGGAAUCAAAAGUCAUAGGCCUAAUCAUCAAUCAAAUAUGAAAUAUAAAACCCAAAUAUAAUCUACAUAUAAAGACAACAUGUCAUCUACAUGUGUUAUAGAAUAGCUCCCUUCUCACAUCCCAGGUCAUGUUUGGACUGGAACGUGACAACUCAACGGGCUAUGCGCAUCUCCCCAAUAGCCUACAGACAACUUUCCUGAGUGCAAUGUCAUUAAUGUGACCGAUAUGUACAGAAUAAUAAGCAUAGUGAAGAAGGAAAAGAUCCCACCUCUGACGCACAGCAGAGACAUCGCUGCUGAGAUUUCCCCUGGAGUAAGAGUCCCUCAAGAAUGUAAAAACAGUCAUUGCGUUUCAAUGAAUGUCCUCCCCAAACGCUUGUUGCAUCGUGAACUAUCCUCCCAGUCCCUUGGGAGUUCAGCGGAUGGAUGAUGCGCCGCUGCCAUUUACUUGGAUGAGAAGUUGGACGAACGCUCCUCCAGCUCACGAUACGAAAUGGUGGAGAACAACAGAGUAAUGAUGUGUCGUUCACGAACGAACGGCUCUUUUUGAACGGAUCUUUUUGUUGAACCUCGGGAACCGAAUUGCAUCGGUGAAAGAGCCAUUCAUCUGGCUCUAUGAUUUGCAUACUGCUACUACUGCUUGUUGAGCUCAGAACAACGUUUUUCUGUAGAUAAAUUACAACAUCAUUAUCUAAAGGGGGUGAAUCCUCACUGCAGAAAUAAUAAAUAGUGGGGAGAGAGAUGUGAUUGUAUGUUUGUUUGUACAGUUAUGGCUGUAAUGUUAUUAUUUUGUGUUCUCACUAAACACCCACAUUUGUAUUUGUGUGGGAAAUGUUUGUAGGCUAUGGUUGCUGUUUGUAUUUCAUUGAACUUUAGGCCCAUACAAAGACAAAUCACACAACAUAGAAUUCCAAAUAACCUUUGGCAAAAAUACACGAAAUAAAAGUCAAGUGAAAAUAGUUAUAAAUGUCUUUAUCAAUUAUGAGUAGCUAAACUGAUCUACUUUUGGACACUGGUGCGCAGGAGAACCCCUAGCUGUCAAUCAAGCAGGCGCGGUGAACGGAUUAUGACGCUCAAGCGUUCCAAAUGACGCAACAAUACAGCUCCAGACCAGAGGAAGUUAAUGCCGAAGAUAUCAUUCGGUUCCACACUAAAACUGAGGUUUGACACGUGUGAUUUGAGUUGUGCUGAUGCAUGAUGGGUUGUAGGCUAGAGCUUGAGGACUCAACUCUGAAGACUGUUUCUGAAUUCACUGACCUGAAAUAAAACUUGUAGACCUUUCCUGCAGUCUCUGAGGAGAUGGACAGCUCUUCUUCUUCUGGACGAUCUCCGUCUCCUACUGGGACUGUCUUCUUACCCCCUCCUAUCAUGUGGAACAGUCUCUACAAGCAGGCAGAGAUGGAGCUUCACUUCCCGAGAGAAGAGAAGAAGACCUAUACAGAGAAGGAAGCCCACAUGCUUGAGUUGAUGGGGAAGGAUCGAACGAUCCGAAACCAGAAGAAGGAGAUGGACAGACUUCAAGUCUGCCUCUGGGAGGAGGAAAAGAAGAAGAGGAAUGGUGGAACGGAGAAGGACAAGAUCAUUGAACAAUUACAGUCUGAGACAGACCAUCUCCGAGCCCUUUUAAAAGAUGAAAGGAGGAGAAGAAGAGUAGAAAGGGGUAUCAUGAAAGAGUGGAAGGCUGAGAUCCUGAGACUGAGGGAGGCAGAGAGCCAGAGGGAGGCAGAGAGCCAGAG